rnacentral:rRNA from 1 species
GACGAACGCUGGCGGCGUGCCUAAUACAUGCAAGUCGAACGCAGUGGGGACGGGUGAGUAACACGUGGGUAACCUCACCUCAGAGGGGGUAACACUUGGACACAGGUGCUAAACCGAUACUGAUGGAUGGACCCGCGGUGCCUUAGCUAGUGGGUGAGGUAACGGCUCACCAAGGCCACGAUGCAUAGCCGGCCUGAGAGGGGGAUCGGCCACACUGGGACGGAGACACGGCCCAGACUCCUACGGGAGGCGUAAGUAGGGAAUCUUCGGCAAUGGACGAAAGUCUGACCGAGCAACGCCGCGUGAGUGAAGAAGGUUUUCGGAUCGUAAAACUCUUUUGUUAGAGAAGCGGUAUCUAACCAGAAAGCCACGGCUAACUACGUGCCAGCCGCCGCGGUAAUUC